GUCUAUACUGUAAAUAAUGGGUAUUAAUGAUUAAUUUUUAGUCAAACAGCAAACGCUUUAAAUACCCCGCCUAGCGAGUACGAUCGCAAGAUUAAAAGUUUAAGGAACAGACGGAGAUCAUUAUCUGGUGGUGGAGCAUGUAAUUUAAACUGACAUUACGCGUAGAAUCUUACCACCCCUAAUAUUUAUAUUAAACUUAUCGACAAAUAUAACGGAGUUGCAUGGCUGUCGU
rnacentral:rRNA from 1 species